rfam:Stegodyphus mimosarum contig66062, whole genome shotgun sequence.
GCCUUUAUGGUGUAGUGGUCAGCAUGCUCAACGUGUAACCGAGAGGUCCGUGGUUUGAUUCCCGGUGAGGGCA